rnacentral:tRNA from 1 species
UAAGGAAUAGUUUAAUGAGAAUUUAAGUUUUGUAAACUUAAGGUGUUUUUAACUUUUUUCA